rnacentral:rRNA from 1 species
UAAUGUAUGGGGAUCUGCCCGAUAGAGGGGGAUAACUACUGGAAACGGUGGCUAAUACCGCAUAAUGCCUACGGCCAAAGCAGGGGCUCUUCGGACCUUGCACUAUCGGAUGAACCCAUAUGGGAUUAGCUAGUAGGUGGGGUAAAGGCUCACCUAGGCGACGAUCUCUAGCUGGUCUGAGAGGAUGAUCAGCCACACUGGGACUGAGACACGGCCCAG